GACGAACGCUGGCGGCGUGCCUAAUACAUGCAAGUCGAACGAGAGCGACCGGUGCUUGCACUGGUCAAUCUAGUGGCGAACGGGUGAGUAACACGUGGGUAACCUGCCCAUCAGAGGGGGAUACCAUCCGGAAACGGAGGCUAACACCGCAUAGGCCUUCGAGCCGCAUGGCUUGAAGGGGAAAAGAGGCGCAGGCUUCUGCUGAUGGUUGGACCCGCGGUGCAUUAGCUAGUUGGUGAGGUAACGGCUCACCAAGGCCGUGAUGCAUAGCCGACCUGAGAGGGUGAUCGGCCACAUUGGGACUGAGACACGGCCCAAACUCCUACGGGAGGCAGCAGUAGGGAAUCUUCCGCAAUGGACGCAAGUCUGACGGAGCAACGCCGCGUGAGUGAAGAAGGUUUUCGGAUCGUAAAACUCUGUUGUUAGAGAAGAACAAGUGCUAGAGUAACUGUUAGCGCCUUGACGGUAUCUAACCAGAAAGCCACGGCUAACUACGUG
rnacentral:rRNA from 1 species